rnacentral:rRNA from 1 species
GACGAACGCUGGCGGCGUGCUUAACACAUGCAAGUCGAACGAUAUAGUGGCGAACGGGUGAGUAACACGUAAGCAACCUACCCUCAAGACCGGGACAACUAGCCGAAAGGUUAGCUAAUACCGGAUGUGGCUGCGGAAAGACAUCUUUCUGCAAUUAAACCCAGCAAUGGGCUUAAGGAUGGGCUUGCGUACUAUCAGCUAGUUGGUGAGGUAACGGCUCACCAAGGCAAUGACGGUUAGCUGGUCUGAGAGGACGACCAGUCACAAGGGAACUGAGACACGGUCCCUACUCCUACGGGAGGCAGCAGUGAGGAAUUUUCCGCAAUGGGCGAAAGCCUGACGGAGCGACGCCGUGUGUGGGACGAAAUCCUUCGGGAUGUAAACCACUGUCAGAUGGGAAGAUAUUGACGUACCAUCAGAGAAGGCCCGCUAACUA